rnacentral:tRNA from 1 species
UAAAAAUUAGUUUAUACUAAAACACUAAUUUGUCAAAUUAGAAAAUUUAAAAAUAAAAUUUUUUU